AUGUGGCAUAAUGGAUAAGGCGUCGGACUUCUAAAAUGUGAAUGACAUCCGAAAAUUGCGGGUUCGAGUCCCGCUAU
rnacentral:tRNA from 1 species